rnacentral:rRNA from 1 species
AUCGAAACCCCACGAUAANUUUCACUUUAAUUUCAAAAUUUAUAUACCUCCAUCUCAAGAAUUAACUCAAAAAUAUUUCUCUCAAAAACAAAUAAAAAGUUAGGUCAAGGUGUAAUUCACAUUAAAGAAUCAAAUGAAUUACAUUAAACACAAUUUAAAGAUUAUUAUUUAAAUAUUAUAUAAAUCAGGAUUUAGAUGUAAUAAUUCAAUAAUAUUAUAAUAUGAUAUAGAUAAUAAAUGUGCACACAUCGCCC